GUUCACGAGUUGCAGCUUUCGGUACCUGGCCGGCUGCACGGCAACCCUGCUCCGUCGAGCGGGGUGCCCCAAGGGAGGAACCGGCCCGGCGCGACCGCGUGCGGGCAAGUCGAUGGG
rfam:Microbacterium sp. AR7-10 contig_23, whole genome shotgun sequence.